rnacentral:lncRNA from 1 species
UUCAGAGCUUUGUCUAAUGUCUCAUCAAGUUCUACAUUCUCAUUAGAAGCUAAGCCUCCCUCUCAGUCUCAACCUCAGCCUCAGCGAGGAGGUUUCGGUCAUGGUAUCAACUUAAGUUCUUCACCUGGCAUCAACUUAAGUUCUUCACCUGGCAUUAACUUAGGUUCCUCACCUGAUGGUGGAGGUGGAAGUGGAGGUGGAGGUGUUGGUGGAAUGCCUUCUUCCGGUGACCCUGUGAAAAAGAAAAGAGGGAGGCCAAGAAAGUAUGGUCCU